GCUUGUCUCAAAGAUUAAGCCAUGCAUGUCUUAGUGUAAAUAACUCUUAUGAAACUGCGAAUGGCUCAUUAAAUCAGUUAUCGUUUAUUUGAUGGUCCCUUACUACAUGGAUAACCGUAGUAAUUCUAGAGCUAAUACAUGCACAAAGGCCCGACUCACGGAGGGCUGUAUUUAUUAGAUUCAAACCAACACUUUUUGGUGAUUCAUAAUAACUUUUGCGGAUCGCAUGGCCUUGAGCCGGCGACGAAUCAUUCAAAUUUCUGCCCUAUCAACUUUCGAUGGUACGGUAUUGGCCUACCAUGGUUACCACGGGUAACGGGGAAUUAGGGUUCGGUUCCGGAGAGGGGGCCUGAGAAAUGGCCACCACAUCCAAGGAAGGCAGCAGG
rnacentral:rRNA from 1 species